CCCAAAUCCCGGGGAGAGCCCCCAGGGCCUGCCACCCCCCUCCCCGCAGCCGUUUAGGAGCGAGCGCGCCCCCGUUAACUUGUUGCCUCUGCUUCUCUUUCACGCUCUAGGCUGAAGGAGAUACCAAGGGCGAUAAGGCCAAAGUUAAGGAUGAGCCACAACGGAGAUCGGCGAGGUUAUCUGCUAAACCCGCCCCUCCGAAGCCAGAGCCUAAACCUAAAAAGGCAGCUCCAAAGAAGAGCGAGAAGUUGCCCAAGGGAAAGAAGGGGAAAGCUGAUGCUGGCAAGGAGGGAAACAACCCUGCAGAAAACGGAGAUGCCAAAACAGACCAGG